UCCACGGCCACCCCGCCGGCCCCGCGCGCUGCGUCCCCUGCCCGUCGGCAGCCGGUCCGCCGCCGCCCUGGCCGGCCCCGCGCCGUCCCCCGCCGCCCAGCUUGGCCUCCGUCGCCGCAACCGCCAGACUUCUUCUGCUUCCCCGCGGAUAAACGUGGGCAUGAGCAGAGCAGGCCCCCGCUGGUCUUCUUCUGCUGCCCCAAGAACGCGGGAGCGCCCCCUGCCGCCGCUGCCCACUGCCCGCGGUCAGCCUCUGCUGCCACACGGAAGGACGUCAGCGCGGUGCGGCGGCGCUGCCCUCCUCUGCUGCCCAACGCUGCCCAACGGACGGCCACGACCUUAUCUGACUAUGGAGAAACCAUCACAUUUUCAGGUUUACUUCAUCGCUUGAGAGUUUGUACUUUGUGGUCGGUGGUGGAAAGGUGGAGCAAGAGGUCUCUCUCAAGUUGUGGGAGAACGAGUCUGCAGAGACGACGUUGAAUUUUAUCAAGGCGGCUUCAUUUUGUUUUGAACUAUCCAAGAGAGACAAGUCCCCAAAUGCUCCACUCCCCACAAUCUGACGAAUGGGAGAGGGAAGCUGAGGCUAUGGUCGCGCCGUUGUAGACAAACAGUUUAACACUGAGAUUAGCAUCCUUGUACAGCAGCAAAUCAACUAGGAGCCUCUCCUGAGAAGCAAAUAUGUAGAUUGUCCACCUCGAAGUUUAUAGUUGCUAAAGAAGCUACAUGAGAUUUAGAAUAUUUUAUCUCACAACUUUCACUUCAUCAGCCCAAUAAUAAAAGCAGAAGUAUGCAUUAAAUAUACAAAGGUCUCCACAAGGUUUGCAUAAGACGUACCUUGACUCUUUAUAUAGACAAAGCUCUGAGGGAUGAAGCGUUUGGGAGCCCGGAUGAAGAAUGCUUCUGUGGCGGAGAAAGAGAAGUGAUGAGAAUACUUCCAAACCGCUCUGAAUUUUUAUUUUGGCAAACUCGGACUCCUUGUUUGAUAAAAUACAUCUGAAGAGCAUGUUUGCGCAUUGUUCAAAUAAACUCUUCAUUUUUGUGUCUCUGUCAAACAAUGCAUUUCAAAUAAUUAGGUU